AUGGCAGAGACUACUUGGAUGACUAAGGUAGCCUUGGAAAACUUUCCUUCUUUGACUAUCAACAUUAUUUUGAUUUUUUUGUCACAGUCUGAUAGUUUAUUGCAAGUGGGAGAAAAUGAUGCUGUUGAUUCCUUCAUAUUUAGAGGUAUUCUGCUGGACUUGCUUCUCUCCAGUUCUGGUUUUUGAUUCUGCUAGCAGCUUGCAGGUGUCUGUCCUUCAUAGCCAGUGUUUGCUUUCAGACAGGCAAAAGAGCAGUAUCAAACUUGAAUAAAUCAACUGUGGAUGCCCCUUUUUUGAAUAAG
rnacentral:lncRNA from 1 species